GGAGCUGAUUAGUUGUUUAGGGUAAGUUGGGCCAGUCCCAGAGCGGCGGCCGAGCGCUGCGCAUGCGCCCGGAGACCCCGUAGCCGGGUACAGGGAGGGGCCAGGAGCGAGCGCUUCCAAACCCGGAAGUGGGUCUCGGUUUUCCCGGGGAUCCCGGGGUAUUCAGCUGCCGUGGAGGUCUGCAAACCCGCCGCUCUCCGCCCUGGGGGAUGCCAGGGAGCGUUUGUCCACAAACUGCCGACCACCUGGAAAUCUCUCUUCGCAGUCUCCCCACUCUUCCAGUUCCACGCGGAGAACUGGUCUCUAGGGCAAGCAUUACGUUUAGCUUAGCAUCCUCCUAAAGAUGCUGUUGAUGAUGAAGACAACGAUAGCAAAAAUCAAGCCAUUUAGAGCCAAAGUACCCCCAAAUAGAAUGGAUGAAGCUGUACAGCACACCUAGCUUUCAUUGGACUCAUAUUGGCCUUAAAUCUUCAUAAAAUUGCCAUAUUCGUGAAAGACUUACAGCCUUUGAGCUUAACAAACUGAGAUUAAGUGGGACUCUCUGUUGGCAUCUUGAUGAUUUUCUUUUAUAUAUGGAAAAGGUAACCCUAAAACCAAAAGGAAAUUUAGCUGCUUGCCUACCUGUCUGUUUGCCGGUUUUUCAAUUUAACGAGCAUUUAUCAAGACCCUUAUCCUCACUUCAAGAAGCAGCAGGGAUUAAUUAGUAUCUAUGAAUCCCAAAUCCCAGCAGAAAGAACCUUAUUGGUCUAGCUUAUGUCAGGUUGUCUAUUCUUGGUAUAGUCACCUUUAGCCAGUGGAGCAGUAUGUAGUCAGGGCUCUUUGUUUUGUAAUGUAAACAUGGCUGUCAGAGGCCCAUCCUUGUAGCCUGCAGUUCUCAAAGAAGGUUGGUUAUGUUCUUGGCAAAGUUUCCAAAAGGUAUAUACCACCGACCAAAAAAGGAGUAAAUUACAGCCUGAAAUUCAAAAGUGUAAAGAACAAUGGACGUGAUCAAGAAUUUUCCAACAAACUCCCACUUAAACUAUUUCAGGCCUAAAUUUCAAUGGCAUUCCCUCAAAGAAGCCAUCGCUGAUCCUCAGCCGCAAUUAAAAUUAUGUUGCCCCAUUUUUAUCUUCUGUGGUACCUUUUUCCUUUGCAGCACCCAUUACAGUUUAUAAUUGAAUAUUUAUUUAUGUGUCUCCUCUCCAAAGAUCAUGUUUGUUUUGUUCACUGCUAUAUGCACAACGCACAGGGCACAUAUGGUAAGGUAUUCAAUAAAUAUUUGUUGAAUGAAUAAAAGGCACAAUAAUUUUUUAAUCCAUGUGAAACCCGUAUAUGAAUUGGCAUCUUAAUCACACUGUCCUGAAGGAAUGUCUCUAUCACCACCCACCUUCCCUAGAAGACACUGAAACUCACUGCAAGAUUUUUCAUCACACAGUAGUUAUAUGAAAUGAGACCCAAUGUACAUCUGCUUCCUUUUAUGAUGUUCCUGGCCGGCUGACUCCUCACUCUUAGUUCCCAAGGUUUCUUUCUGAAGAGCCCUUGAACCAAUUUCUAUAAUAUGCCCACUUGGUUGGCCAAAAGCUCAGAGAGGACAUAAAAUUUCAGGGCAUCAUCAAAUUAGGGGACCAAAGUGCGGGGGUAAUUGGCAGAAGUGCUUUUGUCAUAAUUGUCUUGACUCUUUUCCUAGUGUGGAUUAUGUUCCAGAUGAACCUGUGAUGUGACUCCUGGGGGCAGUUUGCAAUCACCAUUGGCCCAAAAGGAGCCAUCUACGAGCUCAGUAGGGUCUAGUAAAGGAUGAUAUUAAUGCUUCAGCAGCCAGCACUCUUGAAGUUGCAACUGAGGCUGUAAGGGAAAGAUCCUGGUGUGACUAAGGGCAGGGGCGCGCAGGCACUGCUUUCCUGGUAAUACUGAGUCCAAAGAACUUGGCCAUGGAAGACACAACCAAAAAGUAGGAGCUUGUAGAGACUCAGAGAAAGCAGAUGGUCCUCCAACUUUGAUUCUAAUCCUUACCUCACGACUCUAACUCCCAGUUCAAACCCUUUCAUCAUCAUAAUUCAUUCUCCCUGGUAUUAGCCCCAUUGUCCAAUCCAAACUCUAGCCUCAGUGUUAAUCCUAAUCCUAAUAUUAUCUGUAAAAUUUGAUCCUAGAUUUCAAACCUAAUCCCAACCCUAAUUCCAGGAGCUUAACAAAGGCACCUUGCCUUGCCACUGAGUUAUUUUCCCCAGCUCUUCUUUCUUGUGUCUCUCUCUUUUU